rnacentral:lncRNA from 1 species
AUGUUAAUUUUCUUAACGAACGAACAUGAACAUGGUCUUGUUCGUGUUCGUUCGGUUCGUUUACAGCCCUAUUACUGACUCUUGUACUGGUGGAAAAACAAAAGUUUUUAAAUGUAAUGACCACAGAUCAUGUCUCCGAGGAUGAUAAAUCGGUACAAUAUUAUGCUGCGAACGUGCUUAACCUGACCUUUCGUCUCUUGAUGGGGAUUUCUCGAAGGUCAGCCUGUCCCAUUUUGACUCGUUACACAACCUGAGUGUCCUGCCCUUAAGCCACCUCUCUGGUAAGUAAAUUUGGUAUUCUGUAAAAAUCUUUACUUUAACAUCAUUUGCUAUACACACAUAAUUGAAUGCAAAUCAACCAAAUGGUGAUCUAUUUCAUCAGGAGUCUUGGAGGUAAAUAUGUAUUGCAGGGCCCAACUAAUGUGGUAAAUACUUAUAAUAUAUUGAGUUAAUUACUGUUUUCGUCCCUGUGGUUUGCCAAAAAUCACUAUU